ensembl:lncRNA
AAAAAAAAGUGAUUUUAAAUCACUUAUUGCAUGUUGUUAUUGUUUAUUGCUCAUUUUAAUGAAGGGCAACUCUUAAGUUGACAACAGUUUAGGUUUUGUAUAAGAAUAUAUAAUAUGUUAGUAUAUAAUGAUACAAUAUACAUUAUAAACCUACCAUCGUUUCUUUUUUUUUUUUAAUGUUGCCUGCUCAUUAGGUUUAUUACCUUGUAACUACAUUUAUAGGCCAUUGUUUCCAGGUAUACUGUACCUACAAAGUGCACUUAUGGUAGAUAGACAACUACUAAGUGUAGCCUAUCUGUUGCUAUGCACAGUUUUUCAGCGCCCCUCUACCAUGUCCACCUCUGGGAGGAGAUCACCAUCUUCCUGCUCAAUCCCUUCCCUUAACACAACUUUCACCUGUCCAAGGUGGACAUUAUAAGGAUGCAGAAGGCAAAAGAUAUGGGAUGGACUGGCGAGAGGUGGACCUACUGUCCUACCGGCCAUAUCUACUGAAGAGACUCUGGCUCUAAUUUUCACAAACUGUCAUCUCCCAUUUUGACCAAAAAGGUUCCAAACUGCCCAGUGGAAAUAAAUGGUGCC